ACUCUAAAUAAGGGCUUGUUUGAUUCAGUUAUUUAGACUAUGAAAUCAAAAUGAAAUUCAUUGAUUUCAAUAGCUGUUGUUUGUUUUAUAGGAAUCGAAUUUCGAUUCCGAUUUCACUCUUGAACGGAAAUUACCAAUUCCAUUUGUGGCCUAAUCUGAUUUUGAAUUCUGGAUUUGUCCAUUUGAAAGUAAACUAUUCAAAAUUUUCUUUCACCAGCACAUCCUCUCCUUUCCCUUCAUCACUUUUCUCUUUCUUAAUUAAAACUCUCUUUCAAAAAUUUUAGAUAUUCAUUCCAAUUCUCAUUCUAAUAAUGAAUCAAAUAUUUUUAAAUGAUUCACCAUUCUAUUUUUUAUUCCAAAGCAAUUUAAUUUCAUUUCUCAUUCCUAUUUUAAUCAUGAACUAAAUAUAUUCUAAAUUCUGUAAAGUGAUUUUAGGAUCAAAAGUGAUUUUUUUUUUUUUCAAUAAAGCAUUUAGUAAUCUCAUUUACAAAAUUAGAUUCUGAUUUUUAAAAUCAGUUUCCUGAAUUUAUCUCAAAUCAAUUUAGAAAAUUCACUUUCCAUCUAACUCAACCGAACGCCGUGCAGCUUUUAACUAAAAUUACAUGCAGAAAUCACUUCUCUAAGCCCCCGUUUGGUUGGAGGUUAAGGAGUGGAAUAACUCCUUAACCCCCAUAUUAUUCCCAAACAUCCUCAAAAAUGGGUGGGGUUAGCUAACCCCACCUCAAAUGGGUUAUCCCGGGUUAGCUAACUCCACGUCUCCACCUAACCCCAAUCAAACACCAUUUUCUAUUCAUAAUAACUCACUAUCCUUCUUAUCCCACCUACUCCAACCAAACACUAUUUUUUACUAUCCUGGACUAACUCCAACCUCCAACCAAACACAAAAAUACUCUAACCCCACCUUAAUCCUGAACUUAACUCUAUUUCUGGAAUAAUUAGUUUUUCCUUAACCCCGAACCAAACUUUAAUAAGUUUUCUAGGAAAGAAACAAAACUUUAU
rnacentral:lncRNA from 1 species